AUGACUGGGAUUGAUUACUUGCCAAAAAAUUUUUUUGGUUAUUGCUGAGCAUGCAGGGUAGGUCUGAAUGAAAAAGUGAGUGCUUCUGUUGCCGGAUUUUUUUUAGUACGUUCAUGAACCAUGGUCUGUUGCGAGGUUAGUCAUCUUAUUUUGGAAAAGCAACGAGAUUUCUUGUAUCGAGUUAUUUUAAAAACCUAAUUCAAAUUCCGUGCUGGCACGGACAAUUCCAGCGGUGCAGAAAGUUCAGGAGCUGGGCUUGAACUUUGCUUUAUUUAAAAAAACGGUAAAGUGCAGGCGAAUUGAUUGAACCUACAGUCGGAUACACUGCCUUUAUAAGGCAGCAGUGAGUAUUGUCACUAUGCCCUUAAGCAUUCAUGCUGUGCCCUUGUUUCAACAUUAUACUCAUUUUAACAGAUUACUGACAAGGUAUGUGCGACAGUUUUUUUUUUUUUGCUUGUAAAGUGAACUCUCGUGGCGAGCAGUCGUGCAGCUCGUUGCUUCUCUUUCUUGGCUGCCGCGCUUCGUGUCAGCCCUGCUUCUCGCGCCCACGGCUGUGGACGUGCGCGCACUGUGCUCUUAGGGGUACGACAAGCCAUGGGCACCUGUGGACUGGCUGCAUUUCCAUGGCGACUUCACCCUGAGGGGUCACAUCGCACCUCCUGCCCUCUGUAUGGGCAGCCACAUCGCGACAUUGCGAUCCUUCGCACCUGUCCACCACGGGCCCAGAAUCCACCUAGAGUUACCACCAUCUAGGCUGUUGCCUCCUUGCUGAUGCCCUUCUCCGUUGGGUCUACCUGAACCUACUGCCACGGACGUACUAGGCAACCUGCUGCUUCUCACCUCGCUCCUUAUUCUUACUCUUCCCUUCCCCCACAGUUCUGGAAAAUUUUCACCUUGGUUGCUUUGCAUCGGAGAAAUUGGUAGCUGCAGUGUUUAUGGUGGCAUAAGAAUGUGAUGGUUUCAACCAAACAUACACAAACUGCAGAUUAUGGCUGGUUUUGCGGGUGCUAGCCUGCCUAUGUGGUUGGAAGAUGCAUGAAACACACGAUUCAUUUGAAUCUGAUGGUGCAUUCCAACUGACUGAUGUCUUACUAGUAGUAGUACAAAAUUAUAGGCUGGCAGUAACUUCGCAAGCUAUAAACCACACUUUUUUAUUGUGCCUAAACCGCCAGUGUUGUAGACUGCCAGGAAAUUUUCAUAGAGAGUCGGGAAAAACCCAGAAAAAUCACGGAAUUUGAAAUUGCCAGCAUAGUAAAAUACCUUGUGAACAACUUUGAACAAUGGAUAAAGUGGUGAGACCAUUCCAUUGCCUCUCCAGGGAAAUACUUUAAAGGUGAAUAAAGUUUGAGAAUGAAGAAAUAUUUCAAGAAAAGAAUUCUAGUUACUUUUGGUUCCCUGCUCGUACUUGCUAACUGGUAUCCUUUUAUGCGUGGGAAGCUUGUGGUAGAGGUUUUAGAACAUACAAAACAUGUAAGUACUAAUUUAAGAGCAUCUGGAGAAACUGUGGCAUGCUGUUUAAGAGUGAGGUAAUGAAGAAUAGUACACACAACCCAUUUGGAGAAGCUUUUAUUUGCCAAGCCAAAGGAAGUUGCAUAGAAAUUUCAUAAUAGACCUUGGUCUGCUGAAGGAUAAAAAAAAAAAAAAAAUCAACCA